UUCUGGAUCGUUCCAGAGCUCCCCAAGGGAGCCAAACCCUAACUCAACAAUAUUCAUCAAAUUGAAGGGUGAAUUGAAGCUCAAAUUAUCAACCGAACGUGAAUUAGUGAUCACCAAUACAAGGGGAUCAUAAGGCAUAAGGAUCAUGUGAAAAUGGACUCAAGCAAGAAAGGCAAAAGGGUCAAAAGGAGGCAAGGGAACGGACGCAAAAAGGUUGUACGGGUCACGGAGGAUCAUCAAGGAAUAAAGAUCGAGGACCGAGUCACAUGAAGGAUUGUACGGGGUUGUCUAAGGAUGUAAUUUGUUAUACAUAAGUUAUGAUUUAUUCUA